rnacentral:lncRNA from 1 species
AAGAGGGAAAAAACAAACCCUACAUAACACGUAACUAUUAAAAAACAUAGAAAAAUAGAUAACAUAAAUAGAAAAAUCAACCUAGAAAUAACUUAACCAGUACUAGUUGUAUUUUACGAGUUAUUCAUUGAAAUCGUAGACAAAUUGUUUGAAAAUGUUUUAAAUAUGACGUAUGGGUUAUUCAUAUUUGAUUUUUAUAUAUAUACAAGAUAAAGACACACUAAAUAGAAUAAAGAGGGAAAAAAAAACCCUACAUAACACAUAACUAUUAAAAACCACAGAAAAAUAGAUAACAUAAAUAGAAAAAUCAACCUAGAAAUAACUUAACCAGUACUAGUUGUAAUUUACGAGUUAUUCAUUUAAAUCGUAGACAAAUUGUUUGAAAAUGUUUUAAUAUGACGUAUGGGUUAUUCAUAUUUGAUUCUUAUAUAUAUGUUUAUAUAUAUACAAGAUAACGUCACACUAAAUAGAAUAAAGACGGAAAAAACAAACCCUACAUAACACGUAACUAUUAAAAAACAUAGAAAAAUAGAUAACAUAAAUAGACAAAUCAACCUAGAAAUAACUUAACUACUUCUAGUUGUAUUUUACGAGUUAUUCAUUGAAAUCGUAGACAAAUUGUUUAAAAAUGUUUUAAAUAUGACGUAUGGGUUAUUCAUAUUUGAUUCUUAUAUAUAUGUUUAUAUAUAUACAAGAUAACGACACACUAAAUAGAAUAAAGAGGGAAAAAACAAACCCUACAUAACACAUAACUAUUAAAAAACACAGAAAAAGAGAUACCAUAAAUAGAAAAAUCAUCCUAAAAAUAACUUAACUAGUUAUAGUUGUAUUUUACGAGUUAUUCAUUGAAAUCGUACACAAAUUGUUUAAAAAUGUUUUAAAUAUGAUCUAUUGGUUAUUCAUAUUUCAUUCUUAUAUAUACGUUUAUAUAUAUAUACAAGAUAACGACACACUAAAUAGAAUAAAGAGGGAAAAAACAAACCCUACAUGACACGUAACUAUUAAAAAACACAGAAAAAUAGAUAACAUAAAUAGAUAAAUCAACCUAGAAAUAACUUAACUACUUCUAGUUGUAUUUUACGAGUUAUUCAUUGAAAUCGUAGACAAAUUAUUUGAAAAUGUUUUAAAUAUGACGUAUGGGUUAUUCAUAUUUGAUUCUUAUAUAUAUUUUUAUAUAUAUACAAGAUAACGACACACUAAAUAGAAUAAAGAGGGAAAAAACAAACCCUACAUAACAUGUAACUAUUAAAAAACAUAGAAAAAUAGAUAACAUAAAUAGAAAAAUCAACCUAGAAAUAACUUAACCAGUUCUAGUUGUAUUUUACGAGUUAUUCAUUGAAAUCGUAGACAAAUUGUUUGAAAAUGUUUUAAAUAUGACGUAUGGGUUAUUCAUAUUUGAUUCUUAUAUAUAUGUUUAUAUAUAUACAAGAUAACGACACACUAAAUAGAAUAAAGAGGGAAAAAACAAACCCUACAUAACACGUAACUAUUAAAAAACAUAGAAAAAUAGAUAACAUAAAUAGAAAAAUCAACCUAGAAAUAACUUAACCAGUUCUAGUUGUAUUUUACGAGUUAUUCAUUGAAAUCGUAGACAAAUUGUUUGAAAAUGUUUUAAAUAUGACGUAUGGGUUAUUCAUAUUUGAUUCUUAUAUAUAUGUUUAUAUAUAUACAAGAUAACGACACACUAAAUAGAAUAAAGAGGGAAAAAACAAACCCUACAUAACACGUAACUAUUAAAAAACAUAGAAAAAUAGAUAACAUAAAUAGAAAAAUCAACCUAGAAAUAACUUAACCAGUUCUAGUUGUAUUUUACGAGUUAUUCAUUGAAAUCGUAGACAAAUUGUUUGAAAAUGUUUUAAAUAUGACGUAUGGGUUAUUCAUAUUUGAUUCUUAUAUAUAUGUUUAUAUAUAUACAAGAUAACGACACACUAAAUAGAAUAAAGAGGGAAAAAACAAACCCUACAUAACACGUAACUAUUAAAAAACAUAGAAAAAUAGAUAACAUAAAUAGAAAAAUCAACCUAGAAAUAACUUAACCAGUUCUAGUUGUAUUUUACGAGUUAUUCAUUGAAAUCGUAGACAAAUUGUUUGAAAAUGUUUUAAAUAUGACGUAUGGGUUAUUCAUAUUUGAUUCUUAUAUAUAUGUUUAUAUAUAUACAAGAUAACGACACACUAAAUAGAAUAAAGAGGGAAAAAACAAACCCUACAUAACACGUAACUAUUAAAAAACAUAGAAAAAUAGAUAACAUAAAUAGAAAAAUCAACCUAGAAAUAACUUAACCAGUUCUAGUUGUAUUUUACGAGUUAUUCAUUGAAAUCGUAGACAAAUUGUUUAAAAAUGUUUUAAAUAUGACGUAUGGGUUAUUCAUAUUUGAUUCUUAUAUAUAUGUUUAUAUAUAUACAAGAUAACGACACACUAAAUAGAAUAAAGAGGGAAAAAACAAACCCUACGUAACACAUAACUAUUAAAAAACACAGAAAAAUAGAUAACAUAAAUAGAAAAAUCAACCUAGAAAUAACUUAACCAGUUCUUGUUGUAUUUUACGAGUUAUUCAUUGAAAUCAUAGACAACUUGUUUAAAAAUAUUUUAAUUAUGACGUAUGGGUUAUUCAUAUUUAAUUCUUAUAUAUAUGUUUAUAUAUAUACAAGAUAACGACACACUAAAUAGAAUAAAGAGGGAAAAAACAGACCCUACAUAACACAUAACUAUUAAAAAACACAGAAAAAGAGAUACCAUAAAUAGAAAAAUCAUCCUAAAAAUAACUUAACUAGUUCUAGUUGUAUUAUACUAGUUAUUCAUUGAAAUCGUAGACAAAUUGUUUGAAAAUGUUUUAAAUAUGACGUAUGGGUUAUUCAUAUUUGAUUCUUAUAUAUAUGUUUAUAUAUAUACAAGAUAACGACACACAAAAUAGAAUAAAGAGGGAAAAAAUCAACCCUACAUAACACGUAACUAUUAAAAAACAUAGAAAAAUAGAUAACAUAAAUAGAAAAAUCAACCUAGAAAUAACUUAAGCAGUUCUAGUUGUAUUUUACGAGUUAUUCAUUGAAAUCGUAGACAAAUUGUUUAAAAAUGUUUUAAAUAUGACGUAUGGGUUAUUCAUAUUUGAUUCUUAUAU